UACGUAGGUGGCGAGCGUUGUCCGGAAUCACUGGGCGUAAAGGGCGCGUAGGCGGUUUCUUAAGUCGGGUGUGAAAUCUUUGGGCUCAACCUAAAGUUUGCAUUCGAUACUGGGGGACUUGAGUGCAGGAGAGGGCAGUGGAAUUCCUAGUGUAGCGGUGAAAUGCGUAGAUAUUAGGAGGAACACCAGUGGCGAAGGCGGCUGCCUGGACUGUAACUGACGCUGAGGCGCGAAAGCGUGGGGAG
rnacentral:rRNA from 1 species